rnacentral:rRNA from 1 species
AGCGAACGCUGGCGGCAGGCUCAACACAUACAAGUCGGACGCCCCGCAAGGGGAGUGGCAGACGGGUGAGUAACACGUGGGAACGUACCCUUUGGUUCGGAAUAACUUGGGGAAACUCAAGCUAAUACCGGACAAGCCCUUAUGGGGAAAGGUUUACUGCCGAAGGAUCGGCCCGCGUCUGAUUAGCUAGUUGGUGAGGUAAUGGCUCACCAAGGCGACGAUCAGUAGCUGGUCUGAGAGGAUGAUCAGCCACACUGGGACUGAGACACGGCCCAGACUCCUACGGGAGGCAGCAGUGGGGAAUAUUGGACAAUGGGGGCAACCCUGAUCCAGCCAUGCCGCGUGAGUGAUGAAGGCCUUAGGGUUGUAAAGCUCUUUUACCCGGGACGAUAAUGACUGUACCGGGAGAAUAAGCCCCGGCUAACUUCGUGCCAGCCGCCGCGGUAA